GGGUGAGUAAUACGUAGGAAUCUGCCCUGUAGUGGGGGAUAACCCGGCGAAAGCCGGGCUAAUACCGCAUACGCUCUACGGAGGAAAGCGGGGGAUCGUAAGACCUCGCGCUAAAGGAUGAGCCUACGUCGGAUUAGCUAGUUGGUAGGGUAACGGCCUACCAAGGCGACGAUCCGUAGCUGGUCUGAGAGGACGAUCAGCCACACUGGGACUGAGACACGGCCCAGACUCCUACGGGAGGCAGCAGUGGGGAAUAUUGGACAAUGGGGGCAACCCUGAUCCAGCAAUGCCGCGUGUGUGAAGAAGGCCUGCGGGUUGUAAAGCACUUUCAGUGGGGAAGAAAAAAUCGGAUCUAACACAUCCGAGCUUGACGUUACCCAUAGAAGAAGCACCGGCUAACUCCGUGCCAGCAGCCGCGG
rnacentral:rRNA from 1 species